rnacentral:rRNA from 1 species
UACAGAGGUCCCAAGCGUUGUUCGGAUUCACUGGGCGUAAAGGGUGCGCAGGUGGUCGGGUAAGUCUGAUGUGAAAUCCCGCAGCUUAACUGCGGAAUGGCAUUGGAUACUAUUCGGCUAGAGGGUUGGAGGGGGGACUGGAAUUCUCGGUGUAGCAGUGAAAUGCGUAGAUAUCGAGAGGAACACCGGUGGCGAAGGCGAGUCUCUGGGCCGAUACUGACGCUGAGGAGCGAAAGCGUGGGGAGCGAACAGG